rnacentral:rRNA from 1 species
GCAAGUCGAGCGCUUUCCUUCGGGAAGGAGCGGCGGACGGGUUAGUAACGCGUGGGAACAUACCCUUUUCUAUGGAAUAGCCUUUGGAAACGAAGAGUAAUACCAUAUACGCCCUUCGGGGGAAAGAUUUAUCGGAGAAGGAUUGGCCCGCGUUAGAUGAGAGAGUGGGUGGGGUAACGGAGGACCAAGUCACCGAUCUAUAGCUGGUUUGAGAGGAUGAGC